rnacentral:rRNA from 1 species
AUUGAACGCUGGCGGCAGGCCUAACACAUGCAAGUCGAGCGGAUGACGGGAGCUUGCUCCUUGAUUCAGCGGCGGACGGGUGAGUAAUGCCUAGGAAUCUGCCUGGUAGUGGGGGACAACGUUUCGAAAGGAACGCUAAUACCGCAUACGUCCUACGGGAGAAAGCAGGGGACCUUCGGGCCUUGCGCUAUCAGAUGAGCCUAGGUCGGAUUAGCUAGUUGGUGGGGUAAUGGCUCACCAAGGCGACGAUCCGUAACUGGUCUGAGAGGAUGAUCAGUCACACUGGAACUGAGACACGGUCCAGACUCCUACGGGAGGCAGCAGUGGGGAAUAUUGGACAAUGGGCGAAAGCCUGAUCCAGCCAUGCCGCGUGUGUGAAGAAGGUCUUCGGAUUGUAAAGCACUUUAAGUUGGGAAGAAGGGCAGUAAGUUAAUACCUUGCUGUUUUGACGUUACCGACAGAAUAAGCACCGGCUAACUUCGUGCCAGCAGCCGCAGUAACAC